rnacentral:rRNA from 1 species
AUGGCCGCGUGGCUGUGCUCGCCUUCCUGGACUCCCUCUCGGGCGCUCACAGUGAUGAGCUUGCUGCUGCCUCAAGGCUGGAAGAUAUCAAGAGUUUGUACCGGGCUGUCAACUUCUACAGUCAAGCUUUUCCAUGUCGACCCAGAAGCAAAGCGCCCAUCACUAGUCCUGCUCAAUAAACAGUUGUACAAGUUGACCGUAUAUGAUGGCGAGUUCAGAGCGUCUGCGAUUGCCGAGUUUGUUUCGGCCAACAAAAUCCCAUUGAUCACAUACCACCCUCACACGGGAAGCCGCCCCUCUGAUGUUUGA